UAGCACGCCAAGCUGAUUCAGCUUGAUGAACUCUGAACUAACUUGUCCCUCCAGCUUCCUGACCACAGACCAUUUGGAUCUCAUCUCACACUAACAAGAGCGGAGCCGGUCCACCACAUUCGCCAUCCAGAAGUGCGUUUCAUCGCAUCGCUCUGUAUCUGACCAGAAAAGGAGCUGGCAUGUCACAGCAAGUCAACCGAUACUGUCACCUUGGGGAGUGGAGAUGCUGGAGUUGAUUAACAGAAAGUACUGGAGAUGGGCAACUUAAGCUGUCAGUAAAGGAAGCCUCUUUGGGAUUCUAUGGCCAAUGCUUCUGCGCCUUUUGGCUAACAUCAAGGGCAGGGUUGUGGGUUAUAGAGUACAUAAUUCCCACUUUGCUCUUUGCUAAGUCUGUACUCGAGACAAGCAGAUUUCUUGCAGUUCUACAGACCUAGCUCCUUGGCCCCUCUUUUCCCAUCUCUCUUCAGUGCAGAUACCUGGGUCGUGCAUUCCCCAUGCAUGCACCCCUGAGCAGAAUUCUGGGGGGACUUGACCUACUGACCCACAGAGUGUAUAUGCGCCCUUGUGCUCUACUUUCUCCACCAUCAAAAGAUCAUUAUCGAACCAGACAUUUGCAUUUUAGUGAAAAUUUAGGUCAGGGUAUUACUGCUCCCAGGAAGGACUUG
rnacentral:lncRNA from 1 species